UGCCUUUAUGUGUUGCCCAUUCAUUUGUGUUUCCAGAAUGAAUGUGGUGUCAGAAAAGGCAUACAGCAAUUCUUUAUGGUGAUCUGUCAGCGGCCCUCUGAACGAGCCCGCUGUGGAUGCUCUAUAAAAACAUCA